rnacentral:rRNA from 1 species
GAUGAACGCUGGCGGCGUGCCUAAUACAUGCAAGUCGAACGCAUUGAGAGAAGUGCUUGCACUUUUCAAUUUGAGUGGCGAACGGGUGAGUAACACGUGGGCAACCUACCUGAUAGCGGGGGAUAACGAGUGGAAACAUUCGCUAAUACCGCAUAACAAUAGAGAAGGCAUCUUCUUUAUUUAAAAGGCGCUUUCAAGCGUCACUAUCAGAUGGGCCCGCGGUGCAUUAGUUUGUUGGUGGGGUGAAGGCCUACCAAGACGAUGAUGCAUAGCCGAGUUGAGAGACUGAUCGGCCACAUUGGGACUGAGACACGGCCCAAACUCCUACGGGAGGCUGCAGUAGGGAAUCUUCCACAAUGGACGAAAGUCUGAUGGAGCAACGCCGCGUGUGUGAUGAAGGCUUUCGGGUCGUAAAGCACUGUUGUAUGGGAAGAAAUGCUAGGCUAGGGAAUGAGCUUAGUUUGACGGUACCAUACCAGAAAGGGACGGCUAAAUACGUGCCAGCAGCCGCAGUAA